GGGAGUCCUGGGUGGAGAGAAUGCCUUGGCAAGCACCCCAGACAUUCACCUUUCUGGAGAAACUACAGCAGGACCACAGCUACAGCCUGAUGUGCCCUGAGCUGCAUCUCUGGAGAGGGAACAGCAAAUACUCUGUGUCCUGCAGUGAGCUGGAGAGCAAGGUGAAUUUGUGGACUUUUCUCCUGGGAGAUGCUAUCAGGACAAGCUGUGAAGUUGGAUAUCUGAAACAGAUCAAGCCAAUUUUCUAAACACCAGUACACAAGUAAGCACUAAUAAUGAAGCCUGAAUUACCCAAACAAAUUUUGGGGCAGUCUUUUAAAUGCUUCCUGGAAAGACUUUGUGAAAAAUGAGC